UCUUCCUGGCAAUGGGCAAAGAGACAUUUUGUUGGUGGUGUUGUUCUUAGAUCAGUCUGGAGCAGAGCCGAUAGCAGUCCUUUGUUCAUCCUGACUUGAUGCCUGGCUUGGUGGCUGAAGCUGUCUGUCUUAUGCCUAGGCUUCAUAA